AUUGAACGCUGGCGGCAGGCCUAACACAUGCAAGUCGAACGAGUGGCGGACGGGUGAGUAAUGUCUGGGAAACUGCCCGAUGGAGGGGGAUAACUACUGGAAACGGUGGAAAAUACAGCAUACCAUCGGAUGGGAGCAGAUGGGAUUAGCUUGUAGGUGAGGUAACGGCUCACCUAGGCGACGCUCCCUAGCUGGUCUGAGAGGAUGCCCAGCCACACUGGAACUGAGACACGGUCCAGACUCCUACGGGAGGCAGCAGUGGGGAAUAUUGCACAAUGGGCGCAAGCCUGAUGCAGCCAUGCCGCGUGUAUGAAGAAGGCCUUCGGGUUGUAAAGUACUUUCAGCGGGGAGGCGUUACCCGCAGAAGAAGCACCGGCUAACUCCGUGCCAGCAGCCGCGGUAAUAC
rnacentral:rRNA from 1 species